UCGGGCUCGUUAGCCACAGAUGCUGGCCUCUACCCUGGAAACUAGACCACCAGGUGGGUGCAUGGUCGCGGUGGUCACCCGUGUGUCUAUCACACAGCCCAUGGGUGGCAAAGUGACGAGACCAGCAAGAAGCUGAUAUGCGUGAUCCAGCGAUGAACAGCAAAUAAACACGAGCAAGCAACUCUCAGAAAGGUCAGCUGAGGACCCGACUCAUUGGACCGAGGUUGCUGCAAGUUCCGGAAAGCUUAUCUCCACGUUCCUCCAGGGAUGGAGAGCUGGCCUUCCCCCGAACAAGAUUCCAUGGCCAGAGUGAUAGGACUGUGCCUAGAGCUGCUUCCCUCUGCACCACAGUGUCAGCUGUCUGGUGAUGGAGCACCUCAUCCACCCACUGGCUUGGAGAAUGAGUCCUGGGCCCUUCGGCUGCAUUUCUCACCCCUUCUGAUGUGAGGACACAGAGAGAAGACCGCCUUCCACAGAUCAGGCCUUGACUGUCUCUGCACCACAGGCAGAAUCUGCGGGAGCCUUGGUCUAGGACAUCCCAGGCCCCAAAACUAUGAGAAAUAAACUCUUCUCUUUCUGAGCUGCCCAGUGCAUGGUAUUAUGUUAUAUCAGCCCACACGGAGUAAGACAGUGCCCAUCAGCAGCCCUAGUCCUGACAGGGCGAAUCAGAUCCAAGGAGAGGGACCAGGUGGGCAAGAACCCUGAAGUUUCCUAUUGCCUCAGUUACAGUCACACACACACACACACACACACACACACACACACCCCUGGUAGGCAUUGAGUAGCAACUUUGAAUGAAAUAUCUUCUUAGAAGGCUCCCUCUCAGUUCCCUGCCAUGCGGCUCAUGAAGUCUUCUGAGCAGGAAUCAGUCCUGCCCCGGACCUUCCCCGGAACGCACAGCCUGUGCCAGGGCAGCAUUCCUCUUGUUGGUUGGAGCCGGUGCCUCUCUUCGGAGUUGGCGGCCAGGCUCCCAGCGCCUGGGGUGAGAGCCUCGCUCUGUGCUCCCACCCUUCCUUCUGCUUCCCUACAAGAGGGGUCUGUAGGCGGUGGCCCGUGAUGGCGUCCCCAGCCACUGACAGGCUCCUUCUGCUGUUUGCCCAGGUCAGUAGUCACCUGCAUGUGAAGUUAGUUCUGGGGAUGGAUCGGGCACACUGGCUCACAGAUGUAUGGGUUGUCUGUGGUAGGAGUUACUUGCAUGGCUACCCCAAUAAAACCAUUUGGGUAAAGAUCAACUGGUGGCUACAGUGACUGCCCUCUCACAGCUGGCCCAUCGCCCCCAUUUU